AGUGAACGCUGGCGGUAGGCCUAACACAUGCAAGUCGAACGGCAGCACAGUAAGAGCUUGCUCUUACGGGUGGCGAGUGGCGGACGGGUGAGGAAUACAUCGGAAUCUACUUUUUCGUGGGGGAUAACGUAGGGAAACCUACGCUAAUACCGCAUACGACCUACGGGUGAAAGCAGGGGAUCUUCGGACCUUGCGCGAUUGAAUGAGCCGAUGUCGGAUUAGCUAGUUGGCGGGGUAAAGGCCCACCAAGGCGACGAUCCGUAGCUGGUCUGAGAGGAUGAUCAGCCACACUGGAACUGAGACACGGUCCAGACUCCUACGGGAGGCAGCAGUGGGGAAUAUUGGACAAUGGGCGCAAGCCUGAUCCAGCCAUACCGCGUGGGUGAAGAGGGCCUUCGGGUUGUAAAGCCCUUUUGUUGGGAAAGAAAAGCAGCAGGUUAAUACCCCGCUGUUCUGACGGUACCCAAAGAAUAAGCACCGGCUAACUUCGUG
rnacentral:rRNA from 1 species